GAUGAAGAACGUAGUGAAAUGCGAUAAUUAAUGUGAAUUGCAGAAUUCAGUGAAUCAUCGAGUCUUUGAACGCACAUUGCGCCCCCUGGUAUUCCGGGGGGCAUGCCUGUCCGAGCGUCAUUGCUGCCCUCAAGCACGGCUUGUGUGUUGGGCUUCCGUCCCUGGCAACGGGGACGGGCCCAAAAGGCAGUGGCGGCACCAUGUCUGGUCCUCGAGCGUAUGGGGCUUUGUCACCCGCUCCCGUAGGUCCAGCUGGUAGCUAGCCUCGCAACCAAUCUUUUUAACCAGGUUGACCUCGGAUCAGGUAGGGAUACCCGCUGAACUUAAGCAUAUCAAUAAGCGGAGGA
rnacentral:misc_RNA from 1 species